GCCCCCGUAGCUCAGCGGAUAGAGCAGCCGCCUUCUAAGCGGUUGGCCGCAGGUUCGAUUCCUGCCGGGGGCG
rnacentral:tRNA from 1 species